CCUACGGGUGGCUGCAGUGGGGAAUAUUGGACAAUGGGGGGAACCCUGAUCCAGCCAUGCCGCGUGUGUGAAGAAGGCCCUCGGGUUGUAAAGCACUUUCAGUGAGGAAGAACGCCUGGUGGUUAAUACCCAUCAGGAAAGACAUCACUCACAGAAGAAGCACCGGCUAACUCCGUGCCAGCAGCCGCGGUAAUACGGAGGGUGCGAGCGUUAAUCGGAAUUACUGGGCGUAAAGCGCGCGUAGGUGGCUUGAUAAGCCGGUUGUGAAAGCCCCGGGCUCAAACUGGGAACGGCAUCCGGAACUGUCCAGCUAGAGUGCAGGAGAGGAAGGUAGAAUUCCCGGUGUAGCGGUGAAAUGCGUAGAGAGCGGGAGGAAUACCAGUGGCGAAGGCGGCCUUCUGGACUGACACUGACACUGAGGUGCGAAAGCGUGGGUAGCAAACAGGAUUAGCUACCCCAGUAGGC
rnacentral:rRNA from 1 species